UACAGAGGUGGCAAGCGUUGUUCGGAAUUACUGGGCGUAAAGGGCGCGUAGGCGGCCAUCUAAGUCAGACGUGAAAUCCCCCGGCUUAACCUGGGAACUGCGUCUGAUACUGGAAGGCUUGAGUAUGGGAGAGGGAUGUAGAAUUCCAGGUGUAGCGGUGAAAUGCGUAGAUAUCUGGAGGAAUACCGGUGGCGAAGGCGGGAUCCUGGGCCAGUACUGACGCUGAGGAGCGAAAGCGUGGGGAGCAAACAGG
rnacentral:rRNA from 1 species